UAUUUGAUGUUUUGGGUUUUA
rnacentral:siRNA from 1 species